rnacentral:rRNA from 1 species
UAAGGAGCGGGCAUCAGGCACAAACAGUUAGCCCAAGACGCCCAGCCUAGCCACACCCCCAAGGGAAUUCAGCAGUGAUAAACAUUAAGCCAUAAGUGAAAACUUGACUCAGUUAGUGUUAAGAGGGCCGGUAAAACUCGUGCCAGCCACCGCGGUUAGACGAGAGGCCCUAGUUGAUAUUAUAACGGCGUAAAGGGUGGUUAAGGAUAAAUAAAAAUAAAGCCAAAUGGCCCCUUGGCCGUCAUACGCUUCUAGGUGUCCGAAGCCCUAUAUACGAAAGUAGCUUUAGUUAGCCCGCCUGACCCCACGAAAACUGAGAAACAAACUGGGAUUAGAUACCCCACUAUGCUCAGUCGUAAACUUAGACAUCCAACUACAAUUAGAUGUCCGCCAGGGUACUACGAGCAUUAGC